rnacentral:rRNA from 1 species
GACGAACGCUGGCGGUGUGCUUAACACAUGCAAGUCGAACGGUAAGGCCCUUUUUUGGGGUACACGAGUGGCGAACGGGUGAGUAACACGUGAGUAACCUGCCCUCAUCUCUGGGAUAACAGUCGGAAACGGUUGCUAAUACUGGAUAUGAGCUUGCAAGGCAUCUUGUGGGUUGGAAAGAUAUUUUUUGGUUGGGGAUG